AAAACAUAGCCCUAAGAAAAAAUUUAGGGUGAAGCCUGCCCUAUGAGAAAUUAAAUGGCCGCGGUACUCUGACCGUGCUAAGGUAGCAUAAUCAAUUGACUUUUAAAUGAAGUCUGGAAUGAAGGGAAAAACGGAAUUUAGCUGUCUCAUCAAUUUUAUGACGAAUUUACUAACUAGGUGAAAAGGCCUAGGAACGUUAAAAGACGAGAAGACCCUAGGAGUUUCUCAAAUGUUUUGUUGGGGCGACAAGGAAUCAUAUAACAUUCCAUAUUUAAUAAGACGAAUUUGGUAAGUAUAGAAAAACUACCCUAGGGAUAACAGCAUAAUCCUUAUUGGGUUUGUGACCUCGAUGUUGGACUAGGAAGUUCUCAGGCUAGUCGCUUGAUGAAAGGCUUCUGUUCGAAGUUUUAUCUCCUACGUGA
rnacentral:rRNA from 1 species